rnacentral:siRNA from 1 species
GCAGCGAUACUGACGUGCA